GCCCAGGGAUAUUUUUCAGAGCGGGAAGUUAUUCACAACUGAAAAUGAAGUAGGAUAAAAGACCAUGUUAAUACAAUCAUCACACAUUUUCUCUGUCCUUAGCUUCUUAAUAUAAGCGGUCAUACAGGUCCUUGUAUUGGGUACAUCUUAUGUACCUCAGGUUCUCUGGCCUUGCUUAUCUGGGGGGGGUCUCUCCACCCUCCUGCCACAGAGUUAGAGGAAAUGCUCCCCUUGUUUAUCCGUUUGUGUGCGUAUCUGUUUCCUGUUGCUGCUGUAACAAGUUACCACAAACUCGUAGUUUAAAACAACGUGAGUUUAUUUCCUUAUAGUUCUGGAGGUCAACAGUCUGAAAUGAGACUCACAGGCUGAGACCAAGGUGUCCGCAGGGCUGGUUCCUCCGGAAGGUUCCAAGGGAGAACCCAUUCGGUGUGUCUCCUGGCUCCUGGAGGUGGCCUGCCUGCCUUGGCCUAUGGCGGCUUCUCGACACCACUGUAACCUCUGCCUUCUGUCACAUCUUCUACCGCUGACUCCGGUCUCCUGCUUCCGUCUUAGAAGGACACAUGACUACACUGGAUGCACGUGGAUGAUCUCAGAAUCCUCAGGGUCAUGAGGGAAUGAUGAGAACACUGAUCUGGAAACUAAUUCCCACCAAUCAAAUGUCUGGAUGCCUCGGGACCAAGCUUUCGGGAGCCAACUAUGCAUCCCAUCCAACUCCACAUUCAGUGAUGUCACCUUGGAGCUCGAAAUUAGCCCUGGUGGAAAUACGGACACCAUGACAAUCAGCCAACCCCACACGGCAGGACUGCCCCCCCACCCCCACCCCGGAGAGCCCGCGGAUAAACAUUCGCCAGAACAUCUCUGCCGAAGCCCCAGGUACCUGGGAAUUACAGCUCGCGUCUUCUUGAGUACAGACACUCAGUUUCACCAGGAAAACAUCAGAGUCCCUUUGCUCACUGCUGGGCAGAACACCCUAAGUUGGGGGCUGAUAAAAUUGGGACGAAACGAAAGCCGAGAUCUGUGCUGAGUGGGGAGAAGAGCCACGAGACAAGGUUAGAGGCAGGCGGGGCAGAGGACACAGCGCUAUAGUAGAGGGUGAUAUUUUGGUUGGAUAAAAUUAUAGGAGAGCUUUUCGUAGGAGAGGGAUAUAGUUGGAUUUAGAUUUUAUAAAGAUCCCUCCAUGUAUCUGGUUUGUCAACAGCAUAUACAGGUGGGGGGUGCAGGGGAGGGUGCCAGAGGUGGUAAAGCAUGGAGGCCAAUGGGGCUAGGACAGGGGAGCCAUAGCAUGGCUUCUGACCUUUGCCCUAACACCUGCUGCACACCUGUGCUCAUGCCAGUUCCGGGACCCUCCCCUAGGAAGAAUUUGUUCCCCUCUGCCAUAUUGCAAGACCAGCUCAAGACACUACCCCCCCCCCCCACCGGAAUCCUCUCAGCCAUCCCAGUCCCCUCUCUGCCUGCUUUGGGCACGCAUGAGGCUGGAUUUGCAGGGGGGGGGGGAGCGGGGGAGGGCAUGUGAAGGGAAGACAGUGUUUCGGUCCUGGAGAGACUUUUGUCAAUAUGCUGAUUGAUCAAGUAGAAGUGAGAGGUGAUGCUGAGCCAGUCUGUGUUGAUGAGGAAAUGCAGGGAGGGAAGGAAAUCCCAGAGCUCAUUCAAAAUAGCAGACAAGAAAUGUUUAAAGCAACAAUCUCCCAUCCAAGUACUAACCAGGCCCGACCCUGCUUAGCUUCCGAGAUCAGACGAGAUCGGGCGCGUUCAGGGUGGUAUGGCCGUAGACUGGGGACUAUAGUCCUUGUCUAACAUGGGGAAGCAAAAUCCUAAUUACAAUGGACAAUUGUGAUACUGUUCUGUGGUUUUGCAAAAUGUCACCAUAGGGGAAACCAGGUGAAGGGUAUAUGGUUCUCCCUGUACAUGCUAUUGCAACUUCUUCUGAACCUAUAUUAUUUCUAAAUAAAACAUUAAAACAUCCCAGCCGUGGGCACAUAAAGGCCCAAGUGCAGAGAGACCUAGGUUCUGGUGUUGGUGCUGCUGUGAUGUCUCAGAUGAGGCACUCUGCCUCACUUUGCCUACCUCUUCAUAUGCAACUGGGGGAGAGGCAGCCUUUUGGGGUACAAGUCAUGGAGGGAAGAGGCCCUUCUGCCAACUUCCCUCUGGGCUAGAAAUGAAAACAAAGACAGCAGUAGAACACAGAGUCUAGCUCACCUUCCUUCUCAUCACCUGCAGCCCACAGGUGCUCAGCAGCACCU